rnacentral:lncRNA from 1 species
CCCAAGCCAGCCAUGAAGAUUGGAUCAGCUCCAGCAGGGAGGACAAGAGAGCUCUAGAGUCAAAACACUGGUGAUGGAACAGAUGACGAGUUCAAGAGGAUUUAAAAGCUCCACAAGAGAAGCUAUUCAGACUGAGCGGUGCUACCUUCUGCCUCAUCACUUAUGGUGACUUGCUGUGAAUCCACGACCUCCC